GCCCAUGUAGCUCAGUGGCAGAGCACUCCCUUGGUAAGGGAGAGGUCAUGCGUUCAAUCCGCAUCAUGGGCACCA
rnacentral:tRNA from 4 species